rnacentral:tRNA from 1 species
UACACCUUAGUUUAUGUUGAAUUAAAGUUUUUGAUACUUUAGGGGGUAGUUCAAUUCUACUAGGUGUAA